rnacentral:misc_RNA from 1 species
UUAAGUUCAGCGGGUAAUCCUACCUGAUCCGAGGUCAACCUUCUGUAAAUGGGGGGGUUUAACGGCUGGGGCGCGCUGGGGACCGCGGGCGAGAUAUUGCUACUACGCCCGGACCUUCAGCGAGUCCGCCACUAAUUUUCAGGGCCUACGCUCGCGCGUAGUGCCCCAACACCAAGCUGGGCUUGAGGGUUGAAAUGACG